UCACCGGGUGAAAAAUUUGCCU
rnacentral:miRNA from 1 species